rnacentral:rRNA from 1 species
AUUGAACGCUGGCGGCAGGCCUAACACAUGCAAGUCGAACGAGUGGCGGACGGGUGAGUAAUGUCUGGGAAACUGCCUGCUGGAGGGGGAUAACUACUGGAAACGGUAGCUAAUACCGCAUACCCUCGGAUGUGCCCCGAUGGGCUUAACUAGGAGGUGGGGGAAAGGCUCACCUAGGCGACGAUCCCUAGCUGGUCUGAGAGGAUGACUAGACAGACUUGAACUGAGACACGGGCCAGACUGCUACGGGAGGCAGGAGGGGGGAAUAUUUCACAAUUGGGGCAAGCAUGAUGCAGCCAGGCCGGGUGUAUGAAGAAGGCAUUCGGUUUGUAAAGUACUUUCAGCGGGGAGGCGUGACCCGCAGAAGAAGCAGCGGCUAACUCCGUGCCAGCAGCCGCGGUAUAC